rnacentral:rRNA from 1 species
GAUGAACGCUGGCGGCGUGCCUAAUACAUGCAAGUCGAGCGAACAGACGAGGAGCUUGCUCCUCUGACGUUAGCGGCGGACGGGUGAGUAACACGUGGAUAACCUACCUAUAAGGCUGGGAUAACUUCGGGAAACCGGAGCUAAUACCGGAUAAUAUAUUGAACCGCAUGGUUCAAUAGUGAAAGACGGUUUUGCUGUCACUUAUAGAUGGAUCCGCGCCGCAUUAGCUAGUUGGUAAGGUAACGGCUUACCAAGGCAACGAUGCGUAGCCGACCUGAGAGGGUGAUCGGCCACACUGGAACUGAGACACGGUCCAGACUCCUACGGGAGGCAGCAGUAGGGAAUCUUCCGCAAAGGGCGAAAGCCUGACGGAGCAACGCCGCGUGAGUGAUGAAGGUCUUCGGAUCGUAAAACUCUGUUAUUAGGGAAGAACAAAUGUGUAAGUAACUAUGCACGUCUUGACGGUACCUAAUCAGAAAGCCACGGCUAACUACGUG